rnacentral:rRNA from 1 species
CCUACGGGAGGCAGCAGUGGGGAAUCUUGCGCAAUGGGCGAAAGCCUGACGCAGCCAUGCCGCGUGAAUGAUGAAGGUCUUAGGAUUGUAAAAUUCUUUCAGUAGGGACGAUAAUGACGGUACCUACAGAAGAAGCCCCGGCUAACUUCGUGCCAGCAGCCGCGGUAAUACGAAGGGGGCUAGCGUUGCUCGGAAUUACUGGGCGUAAAGGGAGCGUAGGCGGGUUAUCAAGUUGGAGGUGAAAGCCCAGGGCUCAACCUUGGAAUUGCCUUCAAAACUGAUAGCCUAGAGUAUGAUAGAGGUAUGUGGAACUCCGAGUGUAGAGGUGAAAUUCGUAGAUAUUCGGAAGAACACCAGUGGCGAAGGCGACAUACUGGGUCAUGACUGACGCUGAGGCUCGAAAGCGUGGGGAGCAAACAGGAUUAGAUACCCUGGUAGUCCACGCUGUAAACGAUGAUUGCUAGUUGUCGGACGGCAUGCCGUUCGGUGACGCNGCUACGCAUAGANANACCGCCGUCGGGAGGUACGGUCGCGAGAAGUAAACUAACGAAAGAAAGUUAGUAGCGUUGAGAGNGCGAGGACGACGACGAGGGAGGAGG